ACCUUCGGGCCUCUUGCCAUCGGAUGUGCCCAGAUGGGAUUAGCUAGUAGGUGGGGUAAAGGCUCACCUAGGCGACGAUCCCUAGCUGGUCUGAGAGGAUGACCAGCCACACUGGAACUGAGACACGGUCCAGACUCCUACGGGAGGCAGCAGUGGGGAAUAUUGCACAAUGGGCGCAAGCCUGAUGCAGCCAUGCCGCGUGUAUGAAGAAGGCCUUCGGGUUGUAAAGUACUUUCAGCGGGGAGGAAGGGAGUAAAGUUAAUACCUUUGCUCAUUGACGUUACCCGCAGAAGAAGCACCGGCUAACUCCGUGCCAGCAGCCGCGGUAAUACGGAGGGUGCAAGCGUUAAUCGGAAUUACUGGGCGUAAAGCGCACGCAGGCGGUUUG
rnacentral:rRNA from 1 species